ACCCUUUGGAAGCACAUUGGACGCGGGAUUGCAGCCCACAUCCCGUUGUUUUCCACGAGGCAGAAAGCCACGAGUCAUCUGGCCGGGAGCGCAUCCCCUCCCUAUCGACUUGCGACGCAUCGCGCAUCUAUCUCCUCGCCGACUCCGCGUCGAGCGAGAUUGCCCCUUCCGCCGUCGCCACCAUGGAUGCCCUCCUCUGUCCUCGCCUCCAUUGCGUACCAGCACCUCAGCCUCCGCACAGUGAAUCCCGCAUGGGCGCAUCUCCCUGCCUCCUCUAGGGUUUCUUCUCUCUUUGUUCCUCUCACUAAUCCUUGUAGAUCUUGGGGAAGAAGAUCCGAGGCCGCCCAGGAUCCCCGGCGAGACAACGACGGCGAGACUAGUUCUCUCUGCAACCACACGUCCACAGCUCUAUGUCUCAGCCGGCCGCGGAACGUCCGCCCCUUGUACAGCCUUACUUGGCCUGUCAGUUGGUAAAGGAACGAAAAUUAGCAGUAGGUUAUGCCUCUCUCUUCUCUAUGUGCAAGAUGGCAAUAGUAGAAGAAUUCAGACUUGAGAUUAUGUUCUAGAAAUGUGAACAAAUGAUCUAGAUGCUUUGGUGCAGCAGGUAUUUUGAUCAGUCAAAUCAAAUGAAAAAUCAUGUUCAUUUGCUUAAUUCAAUAGUCCACUAGAAGUUCUGUGAUUUUGUGUCAAGCUGCUUCUUGAACCUGAAGUGUUUGCACAUUAUCUAUGGACCAUAAUGGUUCCAUUUUUACAAUUUUCUAAAAUGCCAACUAAUUUUUCAUUCUAAUAAAAAUCACUUCAAUUUCUCACGGUUUAACUAUAAUGAAACUGUAUGCAGUCCUAAGCUAGUUUAGAUGUGUGUUUGUUGAUCUAUGCAUCUGUUCAUCUAUUUUCUAAGUGUGUUGAUGCUUUGUUAUUUUAUUUCUUCACUUUAUGAUGGCUCACACUGUUUCCAGUUUGGAAAUGCUGCUUUCUUCUAGUCAUUACUCGGUAGCAACCUUUGCUAUCUUCCGCUGCUCCUGUUGUUCUGAAUGUAUAUUCAAUCAGCUCUAGGAAUUUGUCAUUCUAGGUCAGGUAGUCAGUCUUUAUUGAGUACUCGUGAUAGAUGAAUAUGUUGUAUUUAGGCUCAUAUUGUUUUCGACGAGCAGUUUAGUGGGUACAAGUUUAGAGGUAGAACAAGCUGAAAGUUCUAUUCCUGUAGAAAAGGAAAAGUUCACCAUUCUACUUUGUCUAAUAUUUCAAAAUCAAUUUUGUUCACCAUUCUGGAAGACAAGGGUUAAAGUUUGUUGUCCAGCUAUAGAUUAUUCUGCUUGAUUUGUAAAUGUCUCUAAAUCCAAAUUCCUUUGUUGGCCUUGGUGAGACAAAUUAUGGCUCACACUAGCAGAGGUUCUCUGUCGCACAAUCGCAUUUUGUUUCUCCUUCAUUCACUAUCUGUCUUAUCCUGUUACCUCCUAUACUUUGCAAAUGCAUGAACGUUAGAAAUAGUACACUAUUAAUUGUUGUCGCUGCACAGGGCCCCUUCACUCAUGGAGUCCCUGUUGGCGAUUCAAGCAUGGAAUUCAGCUUUAACAACCAUAUGGAAGUGCAUAUGGGUUUGUCAGAUUAAUGCUUUUUGUGCACAUGGAAAUCUCAGUAAUCUGCAUUAUUCAGUUUCUUGAGCUCCAAUUACAUAGAUAUUAUGGCAAUCUCAUCCUCCCCUGCGUCUCCUGCCAUGUGAUUCACCUGCACCUUCUUGUGAUGUGCGUUGUCCGCUUGUUCUACAGCCACGAACAUAGACAGGUGCCCUACAGGCUGCAGGCCAUGCGUAUGUGGCAUCAGUGGUAGCUAUGAGCAGUGAGGUGUGUAGUUAGUGAUCAGUUCUUCAAAGGUGGAUAUGCUUGCCUUGAAGAUAAACUAGCAAGAUGGCGAAUAGCAGUGUAGAAGCUCAAUCCUUCUACCAUGUGGAUAUUUACGGAACAAUACUUGAAGUCAAGUUUACCUUUUGGAUGCAACUUGCAAGGCUGAUGGAGAGGCGAAUGAAAGCUUGUAUCAUAUUAUUUGACGACAUAUAUGUGUUAUAAGAAGCUUUUUUUUCUCGAGUCUUUUUCAUGAUUAUUUGAGUCAUCUAGAUAUAUGUAAUAGCUUUAUUAUAUUAUAUUAUUUGAUUUUCUAGACA